GGUUCCUGUUUCCAAGUGGCUUUUGCAACUUGGCUGAGAUGGUGUACUAACAAAAAAUUUGGUUGGUGGGGAUGACAGAUGUGGUAUGCUAUUAGAUGAACCGCUUAAUUUUUGAUUUUUAUUAAAUAUUUUUAAGAGUUCUACCCCAUGCAGUCUCUGUCGCAGUUCUGAAGGGGAACCAGCACUUGGGAAUAAGGCACCAGAAGAGGAACCAGCCUCUGGAAAAUUAAAUUCUUUUCUCUGGGGUACUGCAGAAUGAAAUUUGUCAUCUUUUUCAUUGAAAUACAUCUCAACACAUUGCUCUUCAAAAUCAUGAAGUUUCUUUUGAUCUUCUUCUGUUAAGAAAAGUUCUAUGGGAGGAAAAGAAGAAAAUCAAUGUAGAGCUGUCAAGGUAUAUAAGUUCUCCAGACUGCACUACUUAUUGUCUAGCCUAGACAAUAUAGAAAAGUGAAUAUACGACCAGGAACAGUGACUCAAGCCUGUAAUCCUAGCACUUUGAGAGUGACUCAAGCCUGUAAUCCUAGCACUUCGAGAGGCCGAGACAAAGUCUCACUCUGUUACCCAGGCUGGAAUGUAGUGG